rnacentral:rRNA from 1 species
UACGUAGGGGGCAAGCGUUGUCCGGAAUUACUGGGCGUAAAGCGCGUGUAGGCGGGACGGUAAGUCGGACGUGAAAGGCUGGGGCUCAACCCCAGAUCGCCGUUCGAAACUGCCGUUCUUGAGGGUCGAAGAGGAGAGUGGAAUUCCCGGUGUAGCGGUGAAAUGCGUAGAGAUCGGGAGGAACACCCGUGGCGAAGGCGGCUCUCUGGUCGGCAACUGACGCUGAGACGCGAAAGCGUGGGGAGCGAACGGG